UAUGAAACACCUUAAAUUAUAAAAUUUCAAAUUGUAUUUGUUUUUUUUUACAAACACCUAAAUAUGUGGAUUUAUUAUAUUGAUUGGUCUUUGUUACCGUUUUAUAUUUGUAACUCAUUUUUAAUUUUAUUUGAACACACUUAAUAUACAUUCUAUAUUAUGUUAUUUUUAUAUCAGGGUCAUAUGUGUAUAUAUGGUCAAUAAAGUGAUAGAUACAUAAAAGUACAAAUCUUAUUAUGUAUUAAUCUGCUGAACAAAAUAUGUACUAAUACUAAAGUAAUUAUUUACAUGUGUCUUGUAUCUCUCGUGAAACAUGACAGUACUUCUAAGAGCACCAUUAUUCGAGUUUCUUAGUAGGGUUUUUAAAGAAAAUUAGGCAUUUAAUUAAAUGGAAAACAGAUUAAAUUUGUAUAACCGGCUCUUAUUUCAUGCCUUUUGUAACCGAUUAGAAAGAAGUUUCUUAGUACAAGUGUCGGCCAACCAAGAAAUUUUGUUUUUUUUUCCUUUUUUUUUUUCUUUUUUUCUUUCUUUUCUCUCCUCUUCUCUCCUUUCUCUCGUGUUCUCUGUCGAGACAACGACGAUCGCUUUUGUUCGAUCGGCGUCUCCUCCGUUCGAUCGAAUCGGCGUCUCCUCCCAUCUCCUCUUUCUUCUAACCGGGAGGAGGGACAUGGAGUUCGAUCCAUCUCGACUCAAGUUGAUACUUGUCAACAAGCCUUUACCCAAGUUGCGUUCCAAAGGAAUCCCACGAUACAAAGUUCUUUUUCUGACGAAUCUGAAGGUGGUAUGAGGGACUCCAUUGAUGUAUCUUCUCAUAAUUCAGAUGUAUAUGGCGCAUCAUGUUCUUCAGACGAGUCAAAUGCUCCAACAACCAAAGAUAUUGAAGCUGAAAUGAGAAGGCUGAAUCAUUUGUUCAUUGGGAGCAGUGGGCGUGAUGAAGUCAUCCGUGUGUUGUGGUCUUCUGUUGUCUUGUGGUGAAGUCACAUGUCACGCUUACUUUGCUGUGUUGAUUGGAACAACUUGUGUUCUUGUAUCACGGAAUUGAGUCACGGAAAUGGACAUGUUUUUGUUGUUUUCUUGUUGCAUUGUCUUUAAAAUACAAUCUUGUAAUGAAAGUGUAUUCUCAACAAGCCUUUGUUCUUCCUUCUUC